UACAGAGGUCCCAAGCGUUGUUCGGAUUCACUGGGCGUAAAGGGUGCGUAGGCGGUCGGGUAAGUCUGAUGUGAAAUCUCAUAGCUUAACUGUGAAACUGCAUUGGAUACUAUUCGGCUUGAGAGUUGGAGGGGGGACUGGAAUUCUUGGUGUAGCAGUGAAAUGCGUAGAUAUCAAGAGGAACACCAGUGGCGAAGGCGAGUCCCUGGACAACUUCUGACGCUGAGGCACGAAAGCUAGGGGAGCAAACAGG
rnacentral:rRNA from 1 species